UACGGAGGAUGCGAGCGUUAUCCGGAUUUAUUGGGUUUAAAGGGUGCGUAGGUUGUUUUUUAAGUCAGCGGUGAAAGUUUGUGGCUCAACCAUAAAAUUGCCGUUGAAACUGGAAGACUUGAGUGUGUUUGAGGUAGGCGGAAUGCGUGGUGUAGCGGUGAAAUGCUUAGAGAUCAUACAGAACACCGAUUGCGAAGGCAGCAUACCGGCGCCAGACUGACGCUGAGGCACGAAAGCGUGGGGAUCGAACAGG
rnacentral:rRNA from 1 species